rnacentral:rRNA from 1 species
UGGGGAAUUUUGGACAAUGGGCGCAAGCCUGAUCCAGCAAUGCCGCGUGCAGGAUGAAGGCCUUCGGGUUGUAAACUGCUUUUGUACGGAACGAAACGGUCCUUUCUAAUACAAGGGGCUAAUGACGGUACCGUAAGAAUAAGCACCGGCUAACUACGUGCCAGCAGCCGCGGUAAUACGUAGGGUGCGAGCGUUAAUCGGAAUUACUGGGCGUAAAGCGUGCGCAGGCGGUUAUGUAAGACAGAUGUGAAAUCCCCGGGCUCAACCUGGGACCUGCAUUUGUGACUGCAUAGCUAGAGUACGGUAGAGGGGGAUGGAAUUCCGCGUGUAGCAGUGAAAUGCGUAGAUAUGCGGAGGAACACCGAUGGCGAAGGCAAUCCCCUGGACCUGUACUGACGCUCAUGCACGAAAGCGUGGGGAGCAAACAGGAUUAGAUACCCUGGUAGUCCACGCCCUAAACGAUGUCAACUGGUUGUUGGGCCUUCACUGACUCAGUAACGAAGCUAACGCGUGAAGUUGACCGCCUGGGGAGUACGGCCGCAAGGUUA